AGAUACUGGGCGUAAGCGUGCGCAGGCGGUUAUAUAGACAGGCGUGAAAUCCCCGGGCUUAACCUGGGAAUGGCGCCUGUGACUGUAUAGCUAGAGUGUGGCAGAGGGGGGUGGAAUUCCACGUGUAGCAGUGAAAUGCGUAGAUAUGUGGAGGAAUACCAAUGGCGAAGGCAGCCCCCUGGGAUAACACUGACGCUCAUGCACGAAAGCGUGGGGAGCAAACAGGAUUAGAUACCCUGGUAGUCCACGCCCUAAACGAUGCUGACUAGUUGUUCGGGAUUUACAUCCUGAGUAACGUAGCUAACGCGUGAAGUCAACCGCCUGGGGAGUACGGUCGCAAGAUUAAAACUCAAAGGAAUUGACGG
rnacentral:rRNA from 1 species